AUUGGUUGCUGGAUCGUAUAAAGGAAUCAUGGCGCGGCAGGGGUUGUUAGUGAAGGUUCGAAAGAAAUUGUAUGAUGAGUAGAUGUUGCUAACAAACGAACGUAAGGGGGUUUUUUGGUGAAGAUUAACCACACUUGUGGUCAGUCUGUCUCCGCUGCUGCCGCUCGAUUACACUUUCACUGCGUUAAUUUGCUGUGUUAACCAGGACCAGGACACAGGACCAAACCGCAGCUGCACGUGAUGGAGCUGUUAAAGUUGAGCUAGAUUCCAAACUGUAGUCAACAAACGGACGAAGAAGACCAAAAAUAUACCGUCAGUGUGGUGGUAAUAUUUUGGGAAGAUGGCGGUGUCCUUCCUUAUCGUUCGGCCAAUGGUAGGCAGAGCAUAAUUGAGUCGUUCACCGGUGUUAGCCAUCAACUGAUCAGCUCAGAAGGCCUCCGCUAAACACGUGAUCCAGGCUUCUCUGGGCCCUGCUGUGCUCAAGUGGACUGAGACCUGCGUGAUCUGUCCCCUCAGGACUUGUGAAACUGACGAGCAACGAUCACUCUCUGACCUGCUGUCGACGAAGCCGUGAUGUCAGGCCUCCAGUAUGGCGUCUUGGCAUCACUUCUGUUCUGAUUUGUGGGGAGUGGCUUUGAUCUCCACUAACCAAUCACAGCCACCUAGAUUCAACCUUAUUUUAAGCUGACUCUGACAUCUGUGGGGACUGGUUUGAAGUGAAAACAAACUGGGGUGAUCGAAGGGAUCAUGUCAGCUGGGAGAUGAUGUGAACAAAAGGCCGAAUUGUAGCGCCCCUGUCAGGCAGUGUGUUCUCAGAGCAGAGGCGCCAUGACAAAGACUUACCGAAGCGUUCAUCUGAUCCCACAACAGCUGACUAAAGCGCACAUGAUCAAAAUAAUUACUUUUAACAUCAACAAUUCAUCAUAAAGUAGUUGACAAAGAAAAGUGACUUCCUGUGUUUUUCCGGUCAGUCGCGGACUGAAGCUGACUGAGUUUCAAGUUUUUAAACUUGAAGCUUAAAGUUUCUUUUGCAUGAAUCCGAGCCUGAAGAGGCGACGUAAGAAGCAAACAUUAUGACAGGAACGUGUUCACCUGCAUGUAAAUUCAACAUGCGUACGAACGGUUUGGGACAGACUGUGUAGUGGUUCCUCUUAACUUAUAUCGGAUGUUCCUCGUUAUCGUAAACAUUCAAACCAGCUGUUUGUGC